rnacentral:rRNA from 1 species
CAGCCGCCGCGGUAAUACCGGCGGCCCGAGUGGCGGUCACUAUUAUUGGGCUAAAAGCGUCCGUAGCCGGGUUGGGAAGUCCUCCGGGAAAUCUGGCCGCUUAACGGUCAGAAUGCCGGAGGAUACUCCCAGCCUAGGGAGCGGGAGAGGCCGAGGGUAUUCCCGGAGUAGGGGUGAAAUCCUAUAAUCCCGGGAGGACCACCUGUGGCGAAGGCGCUCGGCUGGAACGCGUCCGACGGUGAGGGACGAAGGCCAGGGGAGCAAACCGGAUUAGAUACCCGGGUAGUCCUGGCUGUAAACGAUGCGGACUUUGUGUCGGACAAGCUAUGAGCUUGUCCGGUGCCGGAGGGAAACCGUUAAGUCCGCCGCCUGGGGAGUACGGCCGCAAGGCUGAAACUUAAAGGAAUUGGCGGG